rnacentral:lncRNA from 1 species
CUUGCUGCAGGGCAUCUCUUAAGCACAGUUUAAUCACAUUGCUGGGAACUGCAAUUAUUUUGCAUCUCCCGGAGGCUCCUGAGAGACAACUGUAAAUAAUGGCUUAUUCUCUUCACCAAACAAGAAGGCAAUUGACUCACACAAUUGCCUGAAGACUGGGCCUGGGAACUCCAGUUUCAUUCCACAGGGAUGCACUUAAAGGGCUGGCGUAGAGAAUGAAAAACUCCCCAAUGGAGUGCCUUCCUGCCUUCUCUAACUACAAAGUUCUUUAAGAAGCCAAGGGAGGCGUUACCUUCUUGUAUGCAGUCAGACUUCCACAGGUGGCUGCUUGGAAAAUAUGCUCACCAUCUCAUUAGAGCCACGGUCUAAUAAGGAGGAAGCCCCUUUCUGCCACCCUUUGACAAACUUCCCCACUUACUGUUAUUACUUCCCACGGGGCCUGAAGGGCCACAGGUUGCUGAUAGGGUGAGGGCUUGCAAAGUCAGCUGGGGGCUUGAAGAGCUGGCAACCUUGAUCUACACAUUUGGAGCCUAUAAAGCACAUUCACUUUGGGCUAGUAAACAAAAUGGAUCUGAAUUUUUUUUUUUUGUUUCUGUGUAUGCUAAUCUGGGCAAUUUGCAAAUCUUACUACAACAGACGAAAUACUAUUAACAUGACCUUAUUGAAACCCACAUCUGUAGUGAGACAGGGAACCAGUCAUCACAAGUGUCUCCACGCAAGGCCCCAGAGGAUAUCUCCAGGAGGUGAGAGCUGCAUUUGACAAACUCCAUAGGCUCUGAAUCGCCUGUCAGUUCUGCAGAGAAAAGCCAACGUUCCUGCUGACCACACACCAUACCCGAUGUCCUUAAUUGGAACUCUGUCACCAUAACAUGGAGCUCUUGGGUCCCGCCUAACCCUUGGUUUUGUUAUAGGCAUUAAAAAUGGGGGACCUCAGACCAGCUGGAAGGGAGGUGGUGCUGUCAAAGUGGGGAAAAAAGACAAAGAGAGGAGCUGGGCAUGGUGGCUUACGGCUGUAAUCCCAGGGUUUUGGGAGGCCAAGACGGAGG